UCCAGUCCACUCUUUACAAAAAUAAUAAUAAUAUCACGCAACAUUCACGUCUGAACUCGACUUGGGCGCGCGUAGCAGAUUCGUCCUCUGCUGCAAACACACAACUGCUGGAAAUAAUUUUGCAAAUAUGCAAAGAAUAAAAAAGUGAUACAUGUUACUGGAGAAGACUCCUCCUGAGGAGACAUAGCUGGGGUUUUGUUUUGUUUUGUUAAAAAAAUACAAAAUAC